CUUGGUCAUUUAGAGGAAGUAAAAGUCGUAACAAGGUUUCCGUAGGUGAACCUGCGGAAGGAUCAAUAUCGUGGGGCUCCGGCCCCGUCGAGAAAGCAACCCUUGCCCUUUUGAGUACCUUGGAAUAGACCCUCCCCCGGAUCCCCGGGGCGUGGGGUGACCAUGCCCAUUUUCCUCGGCCGGGUCCCCGGCCAAUGGGGAGCAAAAAACACCCUGUCACGCUGUAACCGUCUGAUAAAACAAACAAAAAUCAAAACUUUCAACAACGGAUCUCUUGGUUCUGGCAUCGAUGAAGAACGCAGCGAAAUGCGAUAAGUAGUGUGAAUUGCAGAAUUCAGCGAAUCAUCGAAUCUUUGAACGCACAUUGCGCCCUUUGGUAUUCCUUAGGGCAUGCCUGUUCGAGCGUCAUCUAACCCCCUCAAGCACUGCUUGGUGUUGGGUGCCUGUCCCGCCCCCGCGCGUGGACUCACCUCAAAUCCAUUGGCGGCCCCACGUCGGCUCCAGCGCAGCAGAAACGCGCUCGUGGGCCCGGCGGGGUGGCUCCCAGAAGCUACAUCCACCAUUUUGACCUCGGAUCAGGUAGGGAUACCCGCUGAACUUAAGCAUAUCAAUAAGCGGAGGA
rnacentral:rRNA from 1 species